rnacentral:rRNA from 1 species
UACGGGGGGGGUAAGCGUUGUUCGGAAUUAUUGGGCGUAAAGCGCGUGUAGGCGGCGUGACAAGUCGGGUGUGAAAGCCCUCAGCUCAACUGAGGAAGUGCGCCCGAAACUGUCGUGCUUGAGUGUCGGAGAGGGUAGCGGAAUUCCCCAAGUAGAGGUGAAAUUCGUAGAUAUGGGGAGGAACACCGGUGGCGAAGGCGGCUACCUGGACGACUACUGACGCUGAGACGCGAAAGCGUGGGGAGCAAACAGG